rnacentral:rRNA from 1 species
CGGGAGGCAGCAGUGGGGAAUUUUGGACAAUGGGGGCAACCCUGAUCCAGCCAUGCCGCGUGAGUGAAGAAGGCCUUCGGGUUGUAAAGCUCUUUCGGCCGGGAAGAAAUCGCAUGGGUUAAUACCCUGUGUGGAUGACGGUACCGGCAUAAGAAGCACCGGCUAACUACGUGCCAGCAGCCGCGGUAAUACGUAGGGUGCGAGCGUUAAUCGGAAUUACUGGGCGUAAAGCGUGCGCAGGCGGUUUUGUAAGACAGGCGUGAAAUCCCCGGGCUCAACCUGGGAACUGCGCUUGUGACUGCAAGGCUAGAGUAUGGCAGAGGGGGGUGGAAUUCCACGUGUAGCAGUGAAAUGCGUAGAGAUGUGGAGGAACACCAAUGGCGAAGGCAGCCCCCUGGGCCNAUACUGACGCUCAUGCACGAAAGCGUGGGUAGCAAACAGGAUUAGAUACCCUGGUAGUCCACGCCCUAAACGAUGUCAACUAGGUGUUGGGUGGGUAAAACCAUUUAGUACCGGAGCUAACGCGUGAAGUGACCGCCUGGA